GCGUGCGGGAAGAAGGCCUUAGGGUUGUAAACCGCUUUCAGUAGGGAAGAAAAUGACGGUACCUACAGAAGAAGGUGCGGCCAACUACGUGCCAGCAGCCGCGGUAACACGUAGGCACCAAGCGUUAAUCGGAAUUACUGGGCGUAAAGCGCGCGUAGGUGGUUCAGUCAGUCAGAUGUGAAAGCCCCGGGCUCAACCUGGGAACUGCACCUGAUACUGCUGAGCUAGAGUACGGUAGAGGGUAGUGGAAUUUCCGGUGUAGCGGUGAAAUGCGUAGAGAUCGGAAGGAACACCAGUGGCGAAGGCGACUACCUGGACCGAUACUGACACUGAGGUGCGAAAGCGUGGGUAGCAAACAGGAUUAGAUACCCUGGUAGUCCACGCCGUAAACGAUGUCAACUAGCCGUUGGGGGACUUGAUCCUUUAGUGGCGAAGCUAACGCGAUAAGUUGACCGCCUGGGGAGUACGGCCGCAAGGUU
rnacentral:rRNA from 1 species